GAGAGGAGGUGAUUAAUUGGAGAGGAGGAAAGAGGGAGGAGAGAGGAAGAGGAGGAGGGAGUAAGAGGAAGAGGAGAUGGAGGAGGAGGGGGCCGCAUUGAUGGAAAUGGCUUAUGGAUGGCUUGGAGGAGGAGGAGGAGGGGAUCAAUCGGAGAGAAAAAAAGAGGAAGAAGAGAGGCGGAUGAGGAGGAGGAGGAGGAGGAGGAAGGAGAGGCGGUGGAGGAAUUGGUGGAGAUAGAGAGAGCUCCCAUGGAAGAGAAAAAUGGGUGAGGAGGAAAGGGAGAAGGAAGAAAGAGGGAUGUCGUGAUAGAGGAGAAGGAGAUCAAUCAGAGAGGAGGGAGGAGAGAAGAGAAAGGAGAGAGGAGGAGGAGGAAGAGGAGAAAGGAGAGGCAGUAGAAGAAUGGGUGGAGAUGGAGAGAGCUACCAUAGAAGAGAAAAAAUUAGAGAGAAGAAAGAGGAGAAGGAAGGAGGAGGGAGAAGAGGGAUACUGACAAUAAAGAAGGAAGAGAUCAAUCAAAGAAGAGGAAGGAGAAGGAGGAGG
rnacentral:lncRNA from 1 species